rnacentral:tRNA from 1 species
UGGCUCAGUUAGUAGAGCACAAGGGUCUUAACCUUGUGGACGUGGAUUCAAGCCCCAU